rnacentral:misc_RNA from 1 species
AACGCACCUUGCGCUCCUUGGUAUUCCGAGGAGCAUGCCUGUUUGAGUGUCAUUAAUAUAUCAACCUCUUCAGCUUUUGCUUGUUGAGUGUUGGAUGUGGGGGUCAUUUUUUGCUGGUCUUCUCAGGUCAGCUCCCCUGAAAUACAUUAGCGGAACAAUUUGUGGACCGUUCAUUGGUGUGAUAACUAUCUACGCUAUUGACGUGAAGCAGUUCAGCUUCUAACAGUCCAUUGACUUGGACAAAAUUUUAUUAAUGUGACCUCAAAUCAGGUAGGACUACCCGCUGAACUUAA